UUCUAUUAUUAUUACAUCAGUUCCACCUCAGAUCAUCAGGCAUCCAGAUUCCAGAGGUAUACACCCCAGAAGUAUAUACCUCUUAUGUUGUAAACCUGAAGAUUAACCUUCAUAGCUGCAGCAAUUACAAAGCUAAACUGUCCCAGCUCCUACAACAGUACUGAAGGAUGUCACACUUGAGCCUGGUGAAGGCUUGCCAUCACGCUGCCCUGAUCAACGUCAAGUCCCCCCUACAGGGAGCCAUCUGUUCUUCCUUGCCCAGAUUCUCAUAUCAUCUAACACUGACUCUCAACGCCACUAGGAUCAUACAGCUGAAGAAUGUCUAGAGCUGAAGAAGACCUUAGCUGCAAAUUAUCCAGUCACAUAUUACCAAUGUGGUAAUAAGGGAGGAAAGUAGGUUUUCCAAAAAGUAAUGCUCACUGCUUUGUCCCAAAUAAUUCACUUACAAAAAUCUCACCGUAACAGAGAAGAAAGUGCUGAAGUAUUUGAGGCCUGGCAUCUCAAGUUCUCCUGUUCACAGCCUCAACCCUGGGCUGACCUCAUAUGUCAGUGUGAGCCCUGCUCCAGUCAUCCUGGUUCUUUCUCUGAUACCAGGGUGUGCUAUUCCAAUCCACAAGGCACAUAAUUUCUUCUCAAAAAGGUCUCCUCCUCUCAAUCUAUAUGCUACAAAUCCUUCCCUACUCCCUUAAAUGUUGCCUAAAUAACUGUUUUAGACCUUAAAGUUCUGUCCUUCCACCCUUUCCAGCUCCAUUGUGUUGAUCUUCUGAAUGUGAAAACUAAGAUCAGGACCCAGCCUAUAAUCUGUGAUUCUCCAUUAUCCGCAACCUAUAGCAGUGGCGCUAGUGGUAAA